CGGACGGGUGAGUAAUGUCUGGGAAACUGCCUGAUGGAGGGGGAUAACUACUGGAAACGGUAGCUAAUACCGCAUAACGUCGCAAGACCAAAGAGGGGGACCUUCGGGCCUCUUGCCAUCAGAUGUGCCCAGAUGGGAUUAGCUAGUAGGUGGGGUAACGGCUCACCUAGGCGACGAUCCCUAGCUGGUCUGAGAGGAUGGCCAGCCACACUGGAACUGAGACACGGUCCAGACUCCUACGGGAGGCAGCAUG
rnacentral:rRNA from 1 species